UGAAACUCAACACUAGAAAGGACA
rnacentral:sRNA from 1 species